CUUUAAGAAAGAAUGAAAACUCAGAUUUAAUUUGGGCCUAUUUUAUGUCAGAUAUGAGAAAUUACCACUCAUUCUAGUCAGGUUCACACACCGGUUAAUUCAAAACCAAGGCUAAGUCCUCUAAAAGCGCUAAGUUCUGGGGCACCUGAGAGUCAGUUAAGCAUCCGACCCUUGAUCUCAGCUCAGGUCUUGAUCUCAGGGUCGUGAGUUCAAGCCCCGUGCUGGGCUCCAUGCUGGGUGUGGAGCCUACUUAAAAAAAAAAAAAAAAAAAAGUGCUAAGUUCUUUCAACUGUAUACUUCUGCUGUUUGUGUGGAUUUGAAGACCCAAGUCUUCUAAAAGUGCCCAGAUAACAUCCUUCCCACUAAACCAUAAUAAUGUAUACAGAAUAUGCAACCUAGUUUGUGGUGUGAAGCAUGUGAACAGUUUAACCAUUCUAAGAGGUUCAAUAUCCUUAAGGUUUGUAAGUUACGUUAAAUUUUAAUACCCGAAGUUUUUUCUCCAGGUAGGGAAAUUAUAACUUGGAUAACUUCUCUUUUAAAGCUAAAAAAAAAAAAAAAAAAAAAAAAAAAAAAGGAAAAAAAGAGAAAAAAAUUUCAAUCACAUCGCCAUAAAAAGAAAUAUACCACCACUAUCAUCAUCAUCCAGCAGCCUAAAAAAGACUAUCUCAUUGGCUGCGAUAAGCUGUUCUACCUAAAUCUUUGUACCUUCAUCGCUUUUGGGAGAGAAAGAUUAAAUCAUACGAAAUAAGUGAUCCUUUCCGGUGUCAUUUAGGAUGCUUUAUCCUGCACGUGGCAGGAAAUGCUCAUUUAAUUUGGCUUCAUCAAUGGAGAAAUUUAUUACUCCACAUAAUAGCAAUUGCAGACAUAUGGUAGACUGUGAGGCUUGAUGGCUCAGCAGCUCAAGUAUUUCAUGUGUAACCCAAGUUUUUCUCUCUCAGUCUGGUGUUCUCAGGGCUGGAGUUUCUCCUGGCGGGAAAUAGACAUCUGAAGAAGUUCUGUUCGCCAUAUCCAGACCUGAUAAUGUCCACAGGUAGAGGGAAAAAUACGUUUUCUUAGGACUUUCUCAUAGAAGAUGAUGUCUUUGCAACCCUGCUGAUUUGCUGUCAUGACUGAUGGAUCAGGGUUGGCUCAAGUGAAUAUUCUUGUACCAGUCACUGGGAAAGGAGAUGAACUGAGUCAACCAUGCCAACCCUUGGGACGAGGUAUAUAUAGGUUCACAUUACCAUGAAACACAUAAUUAUGUGCAUGGAGCAUGAAGGUGGACACCUGAAUAAAACUGGGAAUCUGUGACUGAAGAGGGGGCAGGAGGGGAUGAUGAUUAGGCAAAUAUCUGUGUCCACUGCACAAUGCUCACAACAUAUGGCUGUAUUUAUAAUCAGUAAUUAUCAAUGGUAAUGAGAUUGGACAAAGUGAAACUAAUCUGAAUUUGAAUAGAGUCCUCAAAUAUCAUUCUAGGAAUUCUUACCCAAGCCUUCUCUCUAACCAUUUAAACCUUUGUUAGAACCAGUUUAAAAAUAACAGAGCAGAUUUGCACUGAUGAUACUAAUCUGAAUGAUUUCAAUGAGUUAAAUAUUUAGGCAUCAUGAUGCUUAAUGAUGCAUUGAUUAGAGAGAUAAUUAAAUGCUGAAUCCGAGUCACCAAAUGACCUCAGGAAAUUGGCAUUGAAAAUGACCAGAGCCAUCACCAAACUGCACACCUCAUUGUUUGUUUGGACCUAAAGCCUUGAGCCAGCUUUUAUAGCAUGAAGGAGGUCCAUUUGGGAACCCUGUGUAACACUACGUGGCAUGUCAGGCUAACCAGAAAUGUAGUCCUGGAGAUCAGUCUACUGUUCCUAUGGUCAUCAUACAAAAGAAUUCCACGGAGCCUAUCACAUGGGGGUCACUAAGAUAUAAAAUAGAAAAUUAUAAACAAUGACAAACAACAUUUAUGAAUUCUUAUUUUGUGGUGUCAGCUCUAAGUGAACUAAAAAUCUGCAACAGAAGUACAAGUCAAGUGCUUCUAUUAAUGUUGUCAUCCUAAUUUCAUAGAUAAGAAAAUGGAUCAUGGAAGGGGUAAGAAAGCCACAUGUCCCAUCCCCGAAACAUGGCACCAGAGCCCACACGCUCCUAAAGACUAUGCUAUCCUGCCUCUAAUGGAGGUGCAAGAAGAAAUACAUAAUUUUAAUAUAAAGAACUGGCUUCACUUCUGAAAAGAGAAAGGGACUGAUACACCUAUUUAAGAAAGGAUCUGGGAUUUGAGAUUAUUUUCUUAUCCUAGAAGAUAUAUAAAAUGAAUGCAUGUACAAUAUUUUAGUGUACUAUUUAAAUAGUGACUUUUUUUCUUUUUGCAGAAGUCUGUUUAUUUAUACUGCUCAGUGAAAUCUUUUGAAACCAUGUAUGUUACUUUAGUUCAUUUCCAGACUACAUAGUUCAUAGGGAAUAUAGAAAUAAAUUUGGUGUAAUUUUAUAAGAAUAACACCAAUAUUCCAAAAUCAAAUUUAUAAACUUAAUUUAAACCUGGGUCAAUUAUUUUCCCCUAUAAAUAAUGUCUUGCAUUUUUUACUAGAUGUAUAGUUGGUCUAAUGAAUGCUCAAGUGUUCUUGUUAAAUGCAUGAAUGAUCGAGUAAGUAAAUUGUAACUUAGAUUGUCAGUUCUAUAGUUUUCCAUUUUAUCUACUGAAAACUAUCUUCUUUAUAAAAACUGGUAUUCAGGACAUUUGGAGUUCAUAUAAAUCCAUAAGCAUUCCAAGGCUCUGGGCAGCGUGUAAUCAAAAUCGAAUCCUGAGAAUCCUAUGAAGUACAUCUGAAAGUAAUAAAAGUUAAAUAUAAAUGAUUGACGGUAGAUAAUAAAGAACAUAUAUAUCCAAUAUAUGCAAAUCAAGAAGAGGAGACUUAAGCAAUGACAUAAGGGCAGCCACAAGUUUCACUUGAAAGGCAGCCUUGAAUAACAAAAACCAGCUGAAGACAGCGGUUUCUGAAAACACAAUCAACAAAAAGUCUAAACAGGUGGAAACUGCCAUUGGAAAUACAUGUGAGAGGAGGCAGUUUUCCCUUGACAUGUGGCUUUGUCUAAACCAAGCCAGAACUGCAUCUACAGAAAAUCUGUAAAAAUUCUAAAUGGUAAGUGAAUAUGUGUAUACAAUUUGGAAAGUACCGUUGAUCACAUGUUAACCUAUAAGAGAGAGAAAGAAGCGGAUGUUUGUGCAGUGUUUGCCUUUUUCAAAUGGCAUAUAAAUUAAUGUAAAACAGUGAUUAAACCCUCCCAAAAUCAAUAGUCUCGUAGUAAAUAGAAUACGAAGAGGCACAGAAAUGGGAUCACAGUAGAAUAAAGCCAGUGACAUUCAACAUUUCUAAGGUAAAUUGUUGGGAUUAACUAGAAAGAUACAUUAUAAGACAAUAUAGAAAAAGCAAGAGUCCUUUCCAUACCACCAAACUGUAUGUUUUGUUUCUUUCAAUCACAAAAUUUUUCAAAAUAAUUUGUAAGCAUUCCUUUUUUUCUUCGGGUUGUAUCUUAGUUAUUUUAUCCUGUUGCCUGAAAUCAUUGGUAAGAGGGCAAAUCACCAUCAAGUUUUGAUUUGGAUGAGGUGAGCUGUUUUGCCUGCCCCUUACAUUCAUCUUAUUAUAUACGUAGACAUAUUUUAUCAAAAGGGGGAAAAAAAAACACGAUGAAGUGCCACUGGAUUUCUAGAUGAUCAAGUGGGCAUUAACAAAUUGAUUUUUUUCAGAAAUCAGGUUCUUUCUUUUCCUCCAACUUACUAUCAUAAAAAUCUAAAGGCAAAUGAAAUGUAAUAAAUUCAUAGGACAGUCUCCCUGGGAAAAUGCUAUUAGCGCAGAGUUGCUAACCGCGAACAAAUUACUGCAAUUAGAAUUACCUGAGUGGCAUUGUAAGGCCUCUCUGCCUCACUGAAGAUAUAUGAUUUCAGAAUUUGUGUUCCUUGCAUUAAUAUUAAGACUCACUGAAUGAAUAAAGGGAGAUAUUUAAUGAUUAUUCAUUUGAUGGUAGGACUUGGUGUCAAAAGGUGUUCCUCAGAGUUUAGAUUCUUGUAAAUCUGGUGUAAUUAUCCAUCCUUUGGGAAAUUAAACAUCUCUAUCUUAAAAUAAGGUCUACAAGGAAAAUCACUCUUUAUAAGCUAGUUGGAGAAUAAAAACUGCUUUUAUUUAAAGAGUCUUGAGUUCUUCACUGCUAACACAUCUGCCUAAAUCCACACAUACUAACAUAUUUUAAUUAUAGUCAAGAACUGUAUGGACCCUUAAUCUGUGAUAAUCUUCAGUAGUCUUUCUCAAGUUUUGAUUUGAUGAAAUAAUUGAAGUGAAACGGUUUUAAAACUAUCAUCUACCAUAGAGAUAUGAAUUUAUAGGCAAGAAACUGAAAGGAUCAAGAGAAAAUCGGAAGAAACACAGAAAUCAAAAUACUACUAGGCUCCAAUAAGAAUAACAGGAGAAUGAGAGCUGUCUAAAAUUCAUAUAAUUCUCUCUCUCUUUUUCUCAUUAUCAUCUAUCUACGUAUCAUCUAUCUACAGAUAUAUGCAGCAUAUAACUCAUUUUAGCUAAACCUUCAACAAUGAAACUUACACCAAACUCAGGUUAAUAAUGUAGAAUUACAAAAAUCUUAGAGAAAAUGUUACAUUUCUGUAAAAAUGUAGAUUAUUAAUUUAAAAAUAACUUAUAGUUUCUCAAAUCAUCAUCUUUUGAAUUAUCUUCUCAAAUCUGAAUUAUUCACUUAAAGACCUAGAAUCAAUUUUCAUCAAACUUUUCAGGAAGGAUUGUACCAUAGAUGAUAGAAUUAGAGUCAAAAAUUUAUCUCCAAAGACAAAAAAAAAAAA
rnacentral:lncRNA from 1 species